CUCGUAGGCGGGGUUCCAAGUCAAAUGUGAAAGCUCCCGGCUUAACUGGGAGAGGUCAUUUGAUACUGGGGCUCUUGAGGGCAGGAGAGGGAGGUGGAAUUCCCGGUGGAGCGGUGGAAUGCGUAGAGAUCGGGAGGAACACCAGUGGCGAAAGCGGCCUCCUGGCCUGUGCCUGACGCUGAGGAGCGAAAGCUAGGGGAGCGAAC
rnacentral:rRNA from 1 species